rnacentral:tRNA from 1 species
GCCGAAAUAGCUCAGCUGGUAGAGCAACGGUUUUGUAAACCGUAGGUCGUCGGUUCGAGUCCGACUUUCGGCUCCA